rnacentral:rRNA from 1 species
CAAUCAAACCGGGAGAUAGCUGGUUCUCCCCGAAAGCUAUUUAGGUAGCGCCUCGUGAAUUCAUCUCCGGGGGUAGAGCACUGUUUCGGCAAGGGGGUCAUCCCGACUUACCAACCCGAUGCAAACUGCGAAUACCGGAGAAUGUUAUCACGGGAGACACACGGCGGGUGCUAACGUCCGUCGUGAAGAGGGAAACAACCCAGACCGCCAGCUAAGGUCCCAAAGUCAUGGUUAAGUGGGAAACGAUGUGGGAAGGCCCAGACAGCCAGGAUGUUGGCUUAGAAGCAGCCAUCAUUUAAAGAAAGCGUAAUAGCUCACUGGUCGAGUCGGCCUGCGCGGAAGAUGUAACGGGGCUAAACCAUG